rnacentral:rRNA from 2 species
CAGCCGCCGCGGUAAAGCCAGCACCUCAAGUUGUCAGGAUGAUUAUUGGGCCUAAAGCAUCCGUAGCCGGCUCUGUUAGUUUUCGGUUAAAUCUGUACGCUUAACGUACAGGCUGCCGGGAAUACUGCAGAGCUAGGGAGUGGGAGAGGUAGACGGUACUCGGUAGGAAGGGGUAAAAUCCUUUGAUCUAUUGAUGACCACCUGUGGCGAAGGCGGUCUACCAGAACACGUCCGACGGUGAGGGAUGAAAGCUGGGGGAGCAAACCGGAUUAGAUACCCGGGUAGUCCCAGCUGUAAACUAUGCAAACUCAGUGAUGCAUUGGCUUGUGGCCAAUGCAGUGCUGCAGGGAAGCCGUUAAGUUUGCCGCCUGGGAAGUACGUACGCAAGUAUGAAACUUAAAGGAAUUGGCGGGGGAGCAC